ACGAACGCUGGCGGCGUGCUUAACACAUGCAAGUCGAGCGGUAAGGCCCUUCGGGGUACACGAGCGGCGAACGGGUGAGUAACACGUGAGCAAUCUGCCCUCCACAUCGGGAUACCCCCCGGAAACGGGAGCUAAUACCGGAUACGACCACUUCAGGCAUCUGAUGGUGGUGGAAAGUUCCGGCGGUGGAGGAUGAGCUCGCGGCCUAUCAGCUUGUUGGUGGGGUAAUGGCCCACCAAGGCUUCGACGGGUAGCCGGCCUGAGAGGGUGACCGGCCACACUGGGACUGAGGCACGGCCCAGACUGCUACGGGAGGCAGCAGUGGGGAAUAUUGGACAAUGGGCGAAAGCCUGAUCCAGCAACGCCGCGUGAGGGAUGACGGCCUUCGGGUUGUAAACCUCUUUCAGUAGGGACGAAGCGCAAGUGACGGUACCUACAGAAGAAGCACCGGCCAACUACGU
rnacentral:rRNA from 1 species